rnacentral:rRNA from 2 species
GUCUACGGCCAUACCACCCUGAACGCGCCGAUCUCGUCUGAUCUCGGAAGCUAAGCAGGUCGGGCCCGGUUAGUACUUGGAUGGGAGACCGCCUGGGAAUACCGGGUGCUGUAGGCU